ACCCAGAUAGUUUAACGAAUAGAAUACAACACUACGAAUGUUGAGGUCAGGGUUUGAUUCCCUGUCUGGGUA
rnacentral:tRNA from 1 species